rnacentral:rRNA from 1 species
GAUGAACGCUGGCGGCGUGCCUAAUACAUGCAGGUCGAGCGAGCAGACGAGGAGCUUGCUCCUCUGACGUUAGCGGCGGACGGGUGAGUAACACGUGGAUAACCUACCUAUAAGACUGGGAUAACUUCGGGAAACCGGAGCUAAUACCGGAUAAUAUAUUGAGCCGCAUGGUUCAAUAGUGAAAGACGGUUUUGCUGUCACUUAUAGAUGGAUCCGCGCCGCAUUAGCUAGUUGGUAAGGUAACGGCUUACCAAGGCAACGAUGCGUAGCCGACCUGAGAGGGUGGUCGGCCACACUGGAACUGAGACACGGUCCAGACUCCUACGGGAGGCAGCAGUAGGGAAUCUUCCGCAAUGGGCGAAAGCCUGACGGAGCAACGCCGCGUGAGUGAUGAAGGUCUUCGGAUCGUAAAACUCUGUUAUUAGGGAAGAACAAAUGUGUAAGUAACUAUGCACGUCUUGACGGUACCUAAUCAGAAAGCCACGGCUAACUACGUG